GAUGAAGAACGGAGCGAAAUGCGAUAAGUAAUGUGAAUUGCAGAAUUCAGUGAAUCAUCGAAUCUUUGAACGCACAUUGCGCCCGCCAGUAUUCUGGCGGGCAUGCCUGUUCGAGCGUCAUUUCAACCCUCAAGCCCAGCUUGGUGUUGGGGAUCGGCACAGGCGCCCUCGGGCGCCCGCCGUCCCCUAAAUCUAGUGGCGGUCCCGCUGCAGCCUCCUCUGCGUAGUAGUUUUCUCCUCGCAAGGGCAGCUCGGUGGCGACCUCGCCGUAAAACCCCCAACUUCUGAAAGGUUGACCUCGAAUCAGGUAGGAAUACCCGCUGAACUUAAGCAUAUCAAUAAGCGGAGGA
rnacentral:misc_RNA from 1 species